rnacentral:lncRNA from 1 species
CUGGGAAAAGCUGUUUCAAAUUGAAUAUUUAGGCUUAGUUUGGUAUUGAGAUCUAUUUGACGCUGUUAGAUAAAAUGGAGUUAGGAAAAAAAUAUAUAGGGAUAUACUUCUGCAUUCUCCGAUUAGACCGUAGAAAAUAUAUUAUAACUGAUUCAUCACAAUAUACGGAAUACAAUAUUACGUACGGAAAUAAACAAUAUAUUUUUCUAUCGUACUUUUUUAUCAUCGCACGUAACACAACCUCGCCGUAAUCUCAAACAAAGCCUGACUAUAACUAAUCUUACCCCACAACCAAUACAAA